AUUGAACGCUGGCGGCAGGCCUAACACAUGCAAGUCGGGCGAGCGGCGGACGGGUGAGUAAUGCUUGGGAAUCUAGCUUAUGGAGGGGGAUAACUACGGGAAACUGUAGCUAAUACCGCGUACCAUAGGAUGAGCCCAAGGGGGAUUAGGUAGUUGGUGAGGUAAAGGCUCACCAAGCCGACGAUCUCUAGCUGGUCUGAGAGGAUGACCAGCCACACUGGGACUGAGACACGGCCCAGACUCCUACGGGAGGCAGCAGUGGGGAAGAUUGCGCAAUGGGGGCAACCCUGACGCAGCCAUGCCGCGUGUAUGAAGAAGGCCUUAGGGUUGUAAAGUACUUUCAGCGGGGAGGCGUUACCCGCAGAAGAAGCACCGGCUAACUCCGUGUCAGCCGCCGCGGUAAUAC
rnacentral:rRNA from 1 species